UAUUAGUCCAACAUCCCCAUUUUGAGUUCUUUGACGUUAAAUCCAACAAUUUGCUUACAUUUUCCCUUCUUGUUUUCUCCGCUCACUUCUUCCUUUAUAUAUCACGCUUCAUCUUCUGAACAAUCCCAUAAAAUACAUCAAGUUUUUCUCUGUAAUCAUGGCUGCAUCAGCCUCUUCUUUUGCUGCUAACAAUUUUUUGCAGCCUAUCAACUCCACCAGAUCCAUUGACAACAACAACAAGAAGACCCUUUUGGGAAAUCAGCUUAAAGAUAGCUCCUUUUUUCUUGGAUCAGCUAAGAAACUCUAUAUGAAGAAACCCUUUUCGUCUCAGAACUCGAAAAGCAGAUCUAUUGGUGUUUAUGCUGUUUCUGAGGUUGCUAAGAACAAGAAGCUCAAAACAGACUCACCACUCUCCAAUCUGUUAAUUACCAAGGAUGAAGGGUUGGAGUUGUAUGAAGAUAUGGUUCUUGGAAGAGCGUUCGAGGACAUGUGUGCCCAAAUGUAUUACAGGGGGAAAAUGUUUGGUUUUGUGCAUUUGUACAACGGCCAAGAGGCAGUCUCUACUGGGUUCAUUAAGCUACUGAAGAAGGAGGAUUCUGUGGUUAGCACUUAUCGUGAUCACGUCCAUGCAUUGAGCAAAGGGGUUCCAGCACGUCAAGUGAUGAGCGAGCUCUUUGGGAAGACCACUGGCUGUUGCAGAGGCCAGGGUGGCUCCAUGCACAUGUUCUCUAAAGAGCACAACGUUCUUGGUGGUUUCGCUUUCAUUGGUGAGGGUAUCCCUGUGGCAACAGGUGCCGCCUUCACUAGCAAGUAUAGAAGGGAGGUCAUGAAAGAGGCAGAUUGUGAUCAUGUAACUAUGGCCUUCUUUGGUGAUGGAACUUGCAACAAUGGCCAGUUCUUUGAGUGUUUGAACAUGGCUGCUCUUUGGAAAUUGCCCAUUAUAUUUGUUGUUGAGAACAAUUUGUGGGCAAUUGGAAUGUCUCACUUGAGAUCUACUUCAGAUCCUGAAAUUUGGAAGAAAGGUCCCGCCUUCGGGAUGCCUGGGGUUCAUGUUGAUGGCAUGGAUGUGUUGAAGGUGAGGGAGGUAGCAAAGGAAGCUGUUGCCAGAGCUAGGAGGGGCGAUGGUCCCACUCUGGUUGAGUGUGAGACUUACCGGUUUAGAGGACACUCUUUGGCCGAUCCAGAUGAGCUUCGUGACCCUGCUGAA
rnacentral:misc_RNA from 1 species